CUCAGGAUGAACGCUGGCGGCGUGCCUAAUACAUGCAAGUCGAGCGAACAGAUAAGGAGCUUGCUCCUUUGACGUUAGCGGCGGACGGGUGAGUAACACGUGGAUAACCUACCUAUAAGACUGGGAUAACUUCGGGAAACCGGAGCUAAUACCGGAUAACAUAUUGAACCGCAUGGUUCAAUAGUGAAAGGCGGCUUUGCUGUCACUUAUAGAUGGAUCCGCGCCGUAUUAGCUAGUUGGUAAGGUAACGGCUUACCAAGGCAACGAUACGUAGCCGACCUGAGAGGGUGAUCGGCCACACUGGAACUGAGACACGGUCCAGACUCCUACGGGAGGCAGCAGUAGGGAAUCUUCCGCAAUGGGCGAAAGCCUGACGGAGCAACGCCGCGUGAGUGAUGAAGGUCUUCGGAUCGUAAAACUCUGUUAUCAGGGAAGAACAAAUGUGUAAGUAACUGUGCACAUCUUGACGGUACCUGAUCAGAAAGCCACGGCUAACUACGUGCCAGCAGCCGCGGUAAUACGUAGGUGGCAAGCGUUAUCCGGAAUUAUUGGGCGUAAAGCGCGCGUAGGCGGUUUUUUAAGUCUGAUGUGAAAGCCCACGGCUCAACCGUGGAGGGUCAUUGGAAACUGGAAAACUUGAGUGCAGAAGAGGAAAGUGGAAUUCCAUGUGUAGCGGUGAAAUGCGCAGAGAUAUGGAGGAACACCAGUGGCGAAGGCGACUUUCUGGUCUGUAACU
rnacentral:rRNA from 1 species